AAAAUUAGGUCAUUAGGGUGGGCUUUAAUCCAAUAUGACUGGUGUCCUUACAAAAAUAGAAAUUUGAACACAGCCACAUACAGGAGGAAUAUGAUGUGAAGACAAAGGGAGAAGACAGCCAUCUAUAAGCUAAGGACAUGGACCUGGAACACAUCCUUCCCUCCCAGCCCUCAGACAGAACCAACUCUGUAGAUCAACCAACACCUUGACUUUCAGCCUCCAGAACUGAGUCGAUAAGGAAAAAGAUUGACAAAAGAAACUAUAAGCAAGCAUGCUGUUUUGAGUCGCCGGAGGAUAGAGACGGCCCAAGAAGAAUUUCAAGAGAACUGCUAAUGAGAAACCUUCCGUGGUGAGACUUGAACUGACAAGCUAUUCCCCCAGGCUCCUCGGGAACAUCUCAUAACUAAUCGGGACAUUCCAUCAAGACCACAUGCACAGGGCCACAGCCUAGACAGCAGAGCAUCCA
rnacentral:lncRNA from 1 species